UACGUGGGGGGCAAGCGUUGUUCGGAAUUACUGGGCGUAAAGCGCGUGUAGGUGGUUAAACAAGUCAGGUGUGAAAGCCCUCAGCUUAACUGAGGAAGUGCGCCUGAAACUAUUUAGCUUGAGUACGGGAGAGGAGGAUGGAAUUCCCAGUGUAGAGGUGAAAUUCGUAGAUAUUGGGAAGAACACCUGUGGCGAAAGCGGUUCUCUAGACCUUAACUGACACUGAGACGCGAAAGCGUGGGGAGCAAACAGG
rnacentral:rRNA from 1 species